UGGCCAUGGGACAGCUCCUGCGUUUGCCGGCGGCUCCGGCUGCCCAUGGGCUCCCUGGGCUGGUAGGUGCCAGGGCAGUGCCGACAGCACCUUGUGAGCCCUCUGCGCACUUCAGGGGACCCUCCAGGAUGUGCCAAGUGGCUGGUGACGCUCAACCCGCCGCCGCAAGUGCUGCGGGAGGUCGGUCUUAUCUCACCUUGUGCGGAGCUUGGCUCAUUGUUGAUUGUUCUUUUCCCAAUCAGGAAGAAAGGAGAAAAAAAAAGAACACCUACUUUUCUUGCAGACCUGCUAUCUGAGUCUCUAUUUGCACUGAGUCUCUGUCCGGCUGCCCCAGAUGCGGCACCCCUGCGGCAGCAAGGACCCUCCGGAGGGGCAGUCCUGAACCCCGACUGUCUGAUGGACCAGAAGAGCCCCUGGGGGAUGAAGGGGUGGGUUUAGGGCUGAACUCCUGCUCUUUUUGUGCCCAGGCUUGUCCCUAUAGCCCCUCUCCUGCUGUGCCCUCCAGCCCGGCAACUCCCAAAAUUGGAGGCCUGGCAACCCUGCAAAAUCAGUGAGGAUGGUGAGGAUGGUGAGGAUGGCUCCAAGGCCCCAGGGUCCCCCGGGCUGGCGGCAGCAGCCCGCUCUACCUGUCACGACAGCUCCUACCACCCACAGUUUAGCCCUAACCUGGUUUCUAUUCUAAGCUCUAUGGUUUGGUUUGUUGUUUUUUUUUUUAUGGGCCUCCUCCCUCUUUCACUUUGUCCCACUUUGCCCUCCUGCCAGUGAGCUCUGCCUGCCGCUGACCCCGAUCCCAGCAGGGCCUUGCCGAAGUCGGUAAUAAAAUGCACCAGCAAGGUUGCUUGGGUCGAGGUGGCUCCUGCUUCCUCAGGCUCAGAUUAAGGAGCAACACCUUGGAUUCAUCUGCAACAGCUCUAGGAGGGAGGGGGCAAGUCGGAGGAACAAAGCUUGGGAGACUUUGCUUUUGUGGCAAAACCGGUUGCAGGAUUAACAGCUUUCCUGGUGUUUGUGUCUUCCUAGGAGACUGAAAAAUGCAAGGUUUUGGGGUGCUGGGGAUGGGGAAUGUCUUCUUUGCCCGGUGCUGCUGGCAGCGUUGGGGAUGCAGCCGUGUGCCAGCCAGAGCUGACCCGCAGCCUCCUCUGGGUUCCUCCAGGUAGUCCUUUGGUGGACUGGGAUCCGGAGCACCACUGCUCCAAAGGUAUCAUUAGAAGAGUCCCUGUUUUUCCAAGCUAACUGGUUUUAUGGGUCUGGCCGUGCUGAUGAAAUAGCUGCCAGGUGGUGUGUGAGUUAUCCCUCUGGCUGGCAGGGUGCAUCUAGGCGCUCGCCUUGAAGAAGAAACAAAAACUGCCCUCAGUGUGGUGGCACACGUGGGAGGUGGGUUUGGCAGUGCUCUGGUGGGCUGCCUGUGCCCACCGGCAAGGGUGGGCUUUUCCCCGGGGCAGGUGGGCUUGAGGCAGUUCAGCCCCAGAAAGUCAGUCCCCCUUGCCUGCGGCUGGGGGCUGCCCCAUGUGUGAUGGGCAGGGUGGACACGUGGGGUAUUAGCUGGAUGCGUUCCCAAGCCUGGCAGGGAGACGGAACCCGUCUGAUGGAGCCAGGGCAGCAGACCCUCGGCUCAGCCAUCAUCUCCCCGCAGCACCCAAAAGCGGGGAAGUAGGUUAUGGCCGUGUGAGACCUGGUGAGAUGGAGGUGUGUUCUUGGAGUCCGGCUGGAUUCAGGCAGCCCUUUGGCUCCGGACCAAAUUUCCAGCCCGAAGGAGUGACACAGCGCAUUGGCUUCCCACCCCGGCCGGGCGGCUCGCUCCCUUCCAGGCACUGCCUCCCGGGCACGGUGGGUUAUGUCACGGCCCCGGCUGCCCUCGCCUCCCCUCCGGCCGGAGUGGCGAGGGAGCGGGCACCUGCCCGGGGACGGCAGCACCCAAUUGCUGUUUGCAGCCAGGGUGGCACCAACCCACACGCGGGGGCAGAGCAGAUGCCGGAGCAGAGCACAGCUCUGUGCCCGGCGGAGAGCAGUGCCCAUCCCAGGAAUUCCUGGUUUCCAUGAACUCAACAUCUCCUGAUCCCACAAAGAGCAGCGAUGAAGUCCAGAUGCAGUGCCACGUGCCAAGGAGGCUGGAAACGUCCUUCUUUCCUAGAGAGGGCAGAGGACGGAGCCUGGAGUUACCCUGCCUGUGCUGAGCGGUAAAAGUUUCGUGUGGGCGGCUGCUAGGGAGCUGCUGGGUUGGGCACCUGCCCGUGGGGACACGU